CAGGUUGUUCCAGCGUCGGGAGUUUGACAGCGUAACGGAAUGAAUCUUCACUGCGGUCCCAGUUUCAGGGUCAUCUCUCCAGAGUACCCGUUGAUAAUCCACAUCUGAUUCCGAGAUCUUCACUUGCCGAUACAUUUUGGCUAUGUCAGACGUGAGACAAACGGGGAGGCAUCGUACACUACCCGUACCUUCGUCGUUUCCCUGUCUUCUCGUAUGACUGCGUGAUGGGAUAUCUCCCUGGAGUUGUCUACACAAGGAGGAUCAUUCUUCAAGGGAAGUCGAACUACAUAUCUCCCUUCCUCGUCUCUUGAAGUUGUCUUUGUGAAUAUCUCCUCACAUCUUUUUUCUUCCUCUGUAAACAUUUUCUCUCUUUUUAUUUCAGGUUCCGCUUCCUGUUCCCAGAACUUCUUAAGGAGAUCAUUUUCAUCGAUCAGUGAAUGCAUUACUACUAUACUCUUUGGCUUCUGCUGUGAAUCCAUAACCGUGCCCGAAAUGAUCCAGCCUAAAGCUGUAGAUUGUGCAAUCACUCCACCCUGGAUACCUUUCCUUAAUCCUUCUU